GAUGAACGCUGGCGGCGUGCCUAAUACAUGCAAGUCGAGCGAACAGAUAAGGAGCUUGCUCCUUUGACGUUAGCGGCGGACGGGUGAGUAACACGUGGGUAACCUACCUAUAAGACUGGGAUAACUUCGGGAAACUGGAGCUAAUACCGGAUAACAUUUGGAACCGCAUGGUUCUAAAGUGAAAGAUGGUUUUGCUAUCACUUAUAGAUGGACCCGCGCCGUAUUAGCUAGUUGGUAAGGUAACGGCUUACCAAGGCGACGAUACGUAGCCGACCUGAGAGGGUGAUCGGCCACACUGGAACUGAGACACGGUCCAGACUCCUACGGGAGGCAGCAGUAGGGAAUCUUCCGCAAUGGGCGAAAGCCUGACGGAGCAACGCCGCGUGAGUGAUGAAGGGUUUCGGCUCGUAAAACUCUGUUAUUAGGGAAGAACAAAUGUGUAAGUAACUGUGCACGUCUUGACGGUACCUAAUCAGAAAGCCACGGCUAACUACGUG
rnacentral:rRNA from 1 species